AGUGAGAUAGCUGGGUCAUGGUGGUGUCAUCCCUAGUUUUUUGAGGAAUCUACAUACUGCUUUCCAGAGUGAUUGUACUUAUUUGCAAUCCCACCAACAAU
rnacentral:pre_miRNA from 1 species